AAAUAGAUCCUGAAACCGUGUGCUUACAAAAAGUAGGAGCCGCGAAAGGGGUGACUGCGUACCUUUUGUAUAAUGGGUCAGCGACUUACAUUCAGUGGCAAGGUUAACCGAAUAGGGAAGCCGUAGAGAAAUCGAGUCCGAAUAGGGUGUCAUAGUCGCUGGGUGUAGACCCGAAACCAAGUGAUCUAUCCAUGGGCAGGAUGAAGGUGCCGUAACAGGUACUGGAGGUCCGAACCGACUAAUGUUGCAAAAUUAGCGGAUGACCUGUGGAUAGGGGUGAAAGGCUAAACAAACUUGGAAAUAGCUGGUUCUCUCCGAAAACUAUUUAGGUAGUGCCUCAAGUAUUACCUGCGGGGGUAGAGCACUGUUUUGGCUAGGGGGUCAUGGCGACUUACCAAACCAAUGCAAACUCCGAAUACCGCAGAGUACAGCUUGGGAGACAGAGCACCGGGUGCUAACGUCCGGACUCAAGAGGGAAACAACCCAGACCGCCAGCUAAGGUCCCUAAAAUUGGCUAAGUGGGAAACGAAGUGGGAAGGCUAAAGCAGUCAGGAUGUUGGCUUAGAAGCAGCCAUCAUUUAAAGAAAGCGUAAUAGCUCACUGAUCGAGUCGUCCUGCGCGGAAGAUGUAACGGGGCUAAGCCAGUUACCGAAGCUGCGGAUUUGCAAUUUAUUGCAAGUGGUAGGAGAGCGUUCUGUAAGCCUGUGAAGGUGCGUUGUAAAGCGUGCUGGAGGUAUCAGAAGUGCGAACGCUGACAUGAGUAGCGUUAAAGGGGGUGAAAAGCCCCCUCGCCGUAAGCGCAAGGUUUUCUACGCAACGUUCAUCGGCGUAGAGUGAGUCGGCCCCUAAGGCGAGGCAGAGAUGCGUAGUUGAUGGGAAACAGGUAAAUAUUCCUGUACCGAUGUGUAGUGCGAUGUGGGGACGGAAAAGGUUAGCUCAGCAGACUGUUGGAUAUGUCUGUUCAAGCCUGUAGUCGUGCCUGGUAGGUAAAUCCGCCGGGCUUAGAUGAGGGGUGAUAACGAGGAUGCUUGCAUCCGAAGUGAGUGAUACCCUGCUUCCAGGAAAAGCCACUAAGCUUCAGCUACACACGACCGUACCGCAAACCGACACUGGUGCGCGAGAUGAGUAUUCUAAGGCGCUUGAGAGAACUCAGGAGAAGGAACUCGGCAAAUUGACACCGUAACUUCGGAAGAAGGUGUGCCUUUAGUAUGUGAACCUGUACAAGGGGAGCAGAAUGAGGCCUCAGAGAAUCGGUGGCUGCGACUGUUUAAUAAAAACACAGCACUCUGCAAACACGAAAGUGGACGUAUAGGGUGUGACGCCUGCCCGGUGCUGGAAGAUUAAAUGAUGGGGUGCAAGCUCUUGAUUGAAGUCCCAGUAAACGGCGGCCGUAACUAUAACGGUCCUAAGGUAGCGAAAUUCCUUGUCGGGUAAGUUCCGACCUGCACGAAUGGCGUAACGAUGGCCACACUGUCUCCUCCUGAGACUCAGCGAAGUUGAAAUGUUUGUGAUGAUGCAAUCUCCCCGCGGAAAGACGGAAAGACCCCAUGAACCUUUACUGUAGCUUUGUAUUGGAUUUUGAACAGACCUGUGUAGGAUAGGUGGGAGGCUUUGAAGCCGGGACGCUAGUCUCGGUGGAGCCAACGUUGAAAUACCACCCUGGUGUGUUUGAGGUUCUAACCUAGGUCCAUUAUCUGGAUCGGGGACAGUGCAUGGUAGGCAGUUUGACUGGGGCGGUCUCCUCCCAAAGCGUAACGGAGGAGUUCGAAGGUACGCUAGUUACGGUCGGACAUCGUGAUGAUAGUGCAAUGGUAUAAGCGUGCUUAACUGCGAGACUGACAAGUCGAGCAGAUACGAAAGUAGGACAUAGUGAUCCGGUGGUUCUGUAUGGAAGGGCCAUCGCUCAACGGAUAGAAGGUACUCUGGGGAUAACAGGCUGAUACCGCCCAAGAGUUCAUAUCGACGGCGGUGUUUGGCACCUCGAUGUCGGCUCGUCUCAUCCUGGGGCUGUAGCCGGUCCCAAGGGUAUGGCUGUUCGCCAUUUAAAGAGGUACGUGAGCUGGGUUUAAAACGUCGUGAGACAGUUUGGUCCCUAUCUUCCGUGGGCGCUG
rnacentral:rRNA from 1 species